rnacentral:tRNA from 1 species
GAAGUUGUGGCUCAGCGUUAGAGUACUCGCCUGGCAAGUGUGGGGCACUGGGUUCGAUCCUCAGCAUCA